GAUGAACGCUAGCUACAGGCUUAACACAUGCAAGUCGAGGGGUAGCAGGGUAGCAAUACCGCUGACGACCGGCGCACGGGUGAGUAACACGUAUCCAACCUUCCCAUAACUCAGGGAUAGCCUUUCGAAAGAAAGAUUAAUACCUGAUAGUACUUUUUUAAGGCAUCUUGAGAAAGUUAAAGAUUUAUUGGUUAUGGAUGGGGAUGCGUUCCAUUAGAUAGUUGGUGAGGUAACGGCUCACCAAGUCUUCGAUGAAUAGGGGUUCUGAGAGGAAGGUCCCCCACAUGGGUACUGAGACACGGACCAAACUCCUACGGGAGGCAGCAGUGAGGAAUAUUGGUCAAUGGGCGAGAGCCUGAACCAGCCAAGUAGCGUGAAGGAUGAAGGUCCUAUGGAUUGUAAACUUCUUUUAUAGUAGAAUAAAGUGACCUACGUGUAGGUUUUUGUAUGUAUACUAUGAAUAAGGAUCGGCUAACUCCGUGCCAGCCGCCGCCGUAACAC
rnacentral:rRNA from 1 species